rnacentral:rRNA from 1 species
UGCAAGUCGAACGAUGAAGCCUUUCGGGGUGGAUUAGUGGCGAACGGGUGAGUAACACGUGGGCAAUCUGCCCUUCACUCUGGGACAAGCCCUGGAAACGGGGUCUAAUACCGGAUAACACUCUGUCCCGCAUGGGACGGGGUUAAAAGCUCCGGCGGUGAAGGAUGAGCCCGCGGCCUAUCAGCUUGUUGGUGGGGUAAUGGCCUACCAAGGCGACGACGGGUAGCCGGCCUGAGAGGGCGACCGGCCACACUGGGACUGAGACACGGCCCAGACUCCUACGGGAGGCAGCAGUGGGGAAUAUUGCACAAUGGGCGAAAGCCUGAUGCAGCGACGCCGCGUGAGGGAUGACGGCCUUCGGGUUGUAAACCUCUUUCAGCAGGGAAGAAGCGAAAGUGACGGUACCUGCAGAAGAAGCGCCGGCUAACUACGUGCCAGCAGCCGCGGUAAUACGUAGGGCGCAAGCGUUGUCCGGAAUUAUUGGGCGUAAAGAGCUCGUAGGCGGCUUGUCACGUCGGAUGUGAAAGCCCGGGGCUUAACCCCGGGUCUGCAUUCGAUACGGGCUAGCUAGAGUGUGGUAGGGGAGAUCGGAAUUCCUGGUGUAGCGGUGAAAUGCGCAGAUAUCAGGAGGAACACCGGUGGCGAAGGCGGAUCUCU